rnacentral:rRNA from 1 species
GAUCCUGGCUCAGGAUGAACGCUAGCGACAGGCUUAACACAUGCAAGUCGAGGGGCAGCACGGGAGUAGCAAUACAACUGGUGGCGACCGGCGCACGGGUGAGUAACGCGUAUGCAACCUACCUAUCAGAGGGGAAUAACCCGGCGAAAGUCGGACUAAUACCGCAUAAAACAGGGGCACCGCAUGGUGAUAUUUGUUAAAGAAAUUCGCUGAUAGAUGGGCAUGCGUUCCAUUAGGUAGUUGGUGAGGUAACGGCUCACCAAGCCGACGAUGGAUAGGGAACUGAGAGGUUGGUCCCCCACACUGGUACUGAGACACGGACCAGACUCCUACGGGAGGCAGCAGUGAGGAAUAUUGGUCAAUGGGCGAGAGCCUGAACCAGCCAAGUCGCGUGAAGGAAGAAGGAUCUAUGGUUCGUAAACUUCUUUUGCAGGGGAAUAAAGUGCAGGACGUGUCCUGUUUUGUAUGUACCCUGAGAAUAAGGAUCGGCUAACUCCGUGCCAGCCGCCGC